rnacentral:rRNA from 1 species
CAGGAUGAACGCUAGCUACAGGCUUAACACAUGCAAGUCGAGGGGCAGCAUCAUCAAAGCUUGCUUUGAUGGAUGGCGACCGGCGCACGGGUGAGUAACACGUAUCCAACCUGCCGACAACACUGGGAUAGCCUUUCGAAAGAAAGAUUAAUACCGGAUGGCAUAAUUAUUCCGCAUGGGAUAAUUAUUAAAGAAUUUCGGUUGUCGAUGGGGAUGCGUUCCAUUAGGCAGUUGGCGGGGUAACGGCCCACCAAACCUACGAUGGAUAGGGGUUCUGAGAGGAAGGUCCCCCACAUUGGAGCUGAGACACGGUCCAAACUCCUACGGGAGGCAGCAGUGAGGAAUAUUGGUCAAUGGACGAGAGUCUGAACCAGCCAAGUAGCGUGAAGGAUGACUGCCCUAUGGGUUGUAAACUUCUUUUAUACGGGAAUAAAGUGAGCCACGUGUGGCUUUUUGUAUGUACCGUAUGAAUAAGGAUCGGCUAACUCCGUGCCAGCAGCCGCGGUAAUACGGAGGAUUCGAGCGUUAUCCGGAUUUAUUGGGUUUAAAGGGAGCGUAGGCGGGUUGUUAAGUCAGUUGUGAAAGUUUGCGGCUCAACCGUAAAAUUGCAGUUGAUACUGGCGACCUUGAGUGCAACAGAGGUAGGCGGAAUUCGUGGUGUAGCGGUGAAAUGCUUAGAUAUCACGAAGAACUCCGAUUGCGAAGGCAGCUUACUGGAUUGUAACUGACGCUGAUGCUCGAAAGUGUGGGUAUCAAACAGGAUUAGAUACCCUGGUAGUCCACACAGUAAACGAUGAAUACUCGCUGUUGGCGAUAUACAGUCAGCGGC